UUUGUUAUCUGUAUAAUUUUCUAACAUUAUUAAUAAAUAAUAAAUUAAAUAAUUAAAUAAAUUUUAAAAUAUAGUAAGAUCAUUUGUAAAAAGUACAUAAUCUAUUAUAUUAAUAAUCGCCAUACAAAUUACCUAGAAAGAUAAAAAAGUACCAAGUGUCUGCGUCCAUCAAAAUAAUUAUGUGAAACGUUGCUUUUGAUCUAUCUUUGCUAGAAAAGUGGUAAUAUUAAAUGUUUUAGCCAACUAAAUAUCAAUUUAUAUACAUUCAAAAAUCUCAUAAUAAAGACCUUACAAAGGUGGAAAGUGUAUGCCGUAUAUCUAAAACACGUCUAAUGUAAUACACAAUGUUAAAUAAUAAAUUAACUGUAAUAAGUUGACUUGUAUUAACUGUUCAAAAAUAUGAAAUCAAUCAAUCAAUAUUACAAUUUAACAUAUUUUCAUUAUUUUAUUCAUGGUUUUAUAAUAAAAUAAAAAAUAACAUAAAAUGUUUAUAAGUUAAAAAUAAUCAAAAGUGAUUAAAUGUAAAAAUGGCUUGUAUAAAAAAAAUAAUAUUGCUUAAUGCUUUUCUUGUACAAAAAAUUUGUAAAAUAUCAAAUAUAAACUACAAAUUUAUUCAUUUUUUUCUGACUAAAGACUCUCAUACAUUUCCUAAAAUAAUACACACCUUAGUUUAAAAAAAAAAUUGUAAUCUAUUUUUUUAAUUAAACAAUGUUAGAGCAAACUAUUAAUGCAUAUUAAAACAUUGUACACUUAUCUAAUCUAUCAAGGAGAGAAAUGAAAAGGUUUCUUUGAAAUGCAGCUUGAUGCAAAAGAUAAUCCUUUGUGCUCAUAUUAAGAAUCUUAAAUCGUAGCUUCAGACAUUUAAAAAAAAAACUGCAAUAAAUAUAAAAAUUUUGAUAUCAUUGGAUCUUUAAUUACUUGGUAGGAUGAUAGAUUUCAGGAAAUAGAGGAAAACAUUUAUUUUACGUUAUUUCAGAACCAAUCAACUUUUUCGGGUGCAUAGAUGUAAAUAUAGUUCAGAUUAAUACACGGAUAAUGUGCUCUUUCGUUACUAUCUCGACAGUACAGUGGAUUAAGCGUAAACUAGUACUCGGGCUGUCCGUAUUCGCAUUAUUCCAAAUUGUACAAUAUUUAUAUCCAACAUAAAGUUAAUAAGUCCUAGAAAAUUAUAACACAUAACUUUUCUUCUCCAUUUCCUAAAAUCUAUCAUCCUAUCAAAUAAUUAUAGAAAUCCAAUGAUUUAAAAAUUUAUAUAAUUAUUGUUUAAAAAAAAAAUUGAAGAGUGUCUGCAGUGAAGUGAAAAUUCUUAAUAUGGGCAUAAAGAAUUACCUUCUGUAACAAACCGUGCGUAUAUUUCAAAAAGACGUUUCCAGUUUUUUUUAGAAAGGAGCUUCCCUUUUUAAGUGUAAAAGUAAAAUACAAAUACCUAAAAUGACAAGAUAUAGAUAUACUGUACAAUAAGUGUAUUUAGAAUUUUUCAAUUUAACUCGUUUAUAUAUUUAAAUUAAACACAUAUAUUUGUGUAAAUGUGCAUUUCAUCACGCACAGUAGUAUAUCUAAUCAAAUUCGCUAUUAGUUACUGUUGGUUUUAAUAAUUGUUUCUUUUUAGUUUAUAUUAUGUAUUGGCAACACUCGCUAGAUAUUAGUUACUAAUGUUAAUGUUGGCACUAACCUUGCCUUCGCGCUUAAACCUGUUCCCCUCUCACUUCUGUAAGGCCCUACUCUCUUCUUGUGCCACGCGCUUGUACGCUCAACACGUUUUAGGAUAUAAAUAAAAGCUCUUUGUAAAUUCGUGCACAAUAAAGUGUUUAUAACUAAUAGUUACAUCUGUACUAAAUAAAAUACCUAUUUACUUAUGUAGAUUAAGAUUAAAUCUGAGAAAAUAUUGAGCCAGGCAUGAACCAAACUUUAAAACAGCAUUUCAGCUUUAAAACAGCGGUUAAAAUUAUUUAAAAUUCUUUUUAUUUUAUGCAGUCUCAAACCGAUAGUGUGCAUUUAAACACUGUAGCCCAACUAGCUUCCACAAUAUGCUACUAAUAAAGUAUAACAUAGUUGUACAUCAUUCUAUGUAUUUUUAUAUAGAAUAAAGAAAAAAUCAAUUAAUAUAACAAAAUUAAUUUAGAUGGAGGUGCCUUUGAUAUUAAAACCACUUAAAACCAAACACCGGAAAAAUUAUUAUUAAAACCAAAAAUAUAAAAAGAAUAGACCGAGUGUAAAUCGCAAAAAAUCAUAUAGAAAGGAACAGAGACAAUUAACAAAUCAAAGAAAAGUUAAUUGCUUGAAUCAAAUAGAGAAAGAAAUACAAGAAUUUUCUGUUUCUUCUUCCUAAUUUUUUUAUUUUUACUACUUAAUUAAACAAACGCGCGGUCUAUUCUAACUAACGUUUAUAAUUGAAACUAAUUUUUAUGUAACAUACAUUUUAUUUUACAAAUAGCUUUCAAAAUAUUUUAAAUUGUUACUUAAAAUCAAUUAGCCUUUAUUUAAUUGUCUAGCGAUCAAUGUUGCACAUUUUUAAUGUUUGCUUUCCACGCGUAAGAAUGAAAUAAUAUGAAUUCGAUCGAUGCAGUUUAGUUAAAUACUUAAAAAUUGAAAACGGAUGUGUACGUAUCAUUAAAAUAUAAUGUUUCUUACCACCAAAAUGACUGGACAUUAAAAAAAAA